GGACAUGUAGCGACACUUAAAAAAAGUGUCGGUAUAUAGAAGAAAAAAUGCUGCAGUGAGACGACACUUUUUCUUACAUAUUCCAGCAAAUUAAAAGUGCCGGUAAAAUUCUUCAGACACUUUUUAGUGCUGCAGAGAGGAAAAAAAAAUGGAUAUGUUUUAGACAAUUCCGACCUUUAUUUUAUAUUUAUAGCGACACUUUAUUAUAAUUUAACAACUAUCAGACAAAUAAUGCAAUUAUUUUUACCAUCACUUUUUCACUACUUAGCGACACUUUUUAAAAAUAUAAUAUUCUUAAUAUAUAAUAAUUUUAUUAUAUAAUUUUUAUCAUAUACUAUUAUUUAUCAUUCAUUCACUAUAUUAUUCAUUAAUAAUUCAUCCAACAAAAAUCAUUUACCAUAAUCUUUCCAAUACAUCAUCAAAAAAAUAUACAAAUAAGAAACAUACAUAUCAUUCACAUUAAGAAGAAAAAGUUUUCGUAAUACAUCUCGUCAGUUGAUGUUAUCCAAAAAACUGAAAAUACUCAAAAUGUUAUCCCAUUCCACCGACUCCAUGCCAUCAGACUCAAAAAAUUAUCGUCAUACAUCUCGUCAUACAUAUCGUCAUACAAACAACAUAAUCCAAAAAACACCCAAACAACAUUGUGCAAAAAGUAUUCAAAAAACUGAAAAUGAUAUAUAAAAUUGGCCUUUUUGCAUAAAAAAUCCACUUAUUUUGGGCUUUUGCAAAAUCGGGUCACUUUUUUCGUUUUUGC
rnacentral:lncRNA from 1 species